GGCUUAGUUGGUGGCUUAGUUGGUUAAAGUGCCUGUCUAGUAAACAGGCGAUCGAGGGUUCGAAUCCCUCCGAGGCCU